GCCGGGGCGCGGGGCGCGCCUGGAGACACCGACCGCUCCCUCGCCACCGGAGUGGGGCCGCCGGAUUGCGCAAGCAGCUGUGGAAGGCCCUCCAGUGUCCGUGCCUUGGCCCACUGGAGCACGGACAGUUCCUGUUCUAAGAAGCUUUUCUACAGGGCCCAAUCCACGAACGCCUCUGUACCGGCCUGUCCGUGCCCAGUCGGCGUGUCUGCGUGUUCUCCGCGGCCCCUGCAGACGGCCCCCAGGCCGCGCACCUGCUCCUCCCCAGGGACUGAGACGACGGGAGGAAGAACUAGAUCAGUUUCUCCAGAAAGGCCUUCUUCGUCCCAGGAGAUGGGCUGUGUCAUUUCACUCUGACUGCAGACCUGACCUGAGGACCAAGAAUUCUUGCAGAUUCUAAGACUGUGCCCACAAGAAAUCCAUUUCAGGGUGCUUGGUGGGCUCAGUCAGUGAAGCAUCUGCCUUCAGCUCAGGUCAUGAUCUCGGGGUCCUGGGAUCAAGUCUGGCGUCAGGCUCCCUGCUCAGUGCGGAGUCUGCUUCUCCCUCUCUGUUUGCUCCUCCCCUUGCCCGUGUGCACAUUCUCUCUCAAAUAAAUAAAUAAAUAAAUAAAUAAAUAAAUAAAUA
rnacentral:lncRNA from 1 species